CUAAGCCUUCAAAGUUAGUAUGAUUUCCUCCCCUUUCAUUGUGCUUUACUACAUCCCUUUGUAUAUCUGGACUUAUUUGUAGAUUCCAUAUUACACACAGUUGGCUUGGUCAGGCUGGGCAUCAGAACCAAGCUGCAGCUGGGGCCGUGUUGGUCAGGAGAUGGAGUGUGAAGCAAACAGUCGAGCCAGCCCUGGGGUAGGGGAUGUCCCCGAGAGCCAGUCCCUGGCUCCAGGAUAUUGGCUGGACAAGGGGUUGAGUUUUAGGCUUCUCAGAAUUUCAAUAAACCCGUUGGAAGAAAAGGGCCACAACAGGAUAGCUGAUUCACCUGGGAAAAUCCAAACCACCUGACUGACAAGUGGUGGAGAGGAGGCGGUGCCACUGGGAGCAGCUGCCUGGAAAGGAGAACCAGGUAAGAGCAGCCGGGCUGGAGGUUGUGCUUGCUGAAGGGGACAGAUGAAAGCCACAGCUGAGUUCCUUCUGGUUCGCGUGUCUAGGAAGCCAGUGUCUGUCCUCCAUGUCACCGAAGUUGGACCACGGUUCACUCAGUGAGGUUAUUCUUGGUGGCUGGUUCUCGGCACUGCGCUCUGGACUGCCCUGGUGAGUUGCUUGGUCCUGUGAAAAGCCACCUCUUUCUCUUGCAGAGGUGAGCUUGAUAUUUUCUUUCCUUUAUAGUUGCCCCAAGGUCAAGGGUAUUAAUGGCCCAGUUUUUUAAAUUCUUGAUCUGCUAAUCCCAUCUGUAGAGUAGCUACCACUUCAGCAAAGAACUGCCUCAGCUUACAGAGCUAUCAACUUGGAAAGGUUUAAAAAACAAGACUAGAGUAGGUGAGAGCCCUGAACUAGGACUGAAGAGAGCCACGUUCGAUUUCUAAUAAUAGAGCGGAGUGGACUAUGCUUGAGCUCUGAAGUCAGGUUGCCUGAGUUCAAAAUUCUGGCUCUGUCAGUAGCUGGUAAUCUCGGGCGAGUUACUUCUCUCAGCCUCAGUGUCCUCAUCUAUAAAAUGAGGAUAAUAGUAGCUUUAACCACAUGACGUGUCUGUGAAGACUAAAGGAAAUAAUGCUUAUAAUGCACUUGACCUCAGGACCAAGGGAGCACUCAGGUGCCAACUGUCGUCAUCUACGUAGAGCACGUGACCAGGGCUGAAUCUGCAAGACGGAAAAAUCCGGCUCCUGCGGCCGUCUCCAGACUGCGUGAGGGUGGACUUCUGGGUAUCUCACAAAUGCUUCCCACCUCUGAGGUGUGCCCUCCCUGUACAAGGCAGAGUGAAUAAAGAGACGGCAGGGGACCCCAGAACUGGAGUGACACACUCCAGGGUUCAAAACCGGAGAAUGCACCUUAGAUCUGUCAUCAGCCGGAGUGAGACUGUGUCAUCCCCUCCCUCUGCUACUCAGUGGCAUCUCUAAACUUUGGGCACUUGGUGCUCUGCCUGGCAGAAUUGUUCAGAAGCCCCCAUGGUGUUGUUACUUAAAGUGGAUCCUUGGCCAUGCCCUGGGGGUGCUUGUUAAAAGGAUUCCUGGGCUCCAGCUCUGACCUGCAGCAUACCUCGGCCCACCAGCCAGAGUCGGGCUGUUUAACAAGCUCUCCCAGGUGGUUCUCAUGCACUCAGGUUUGACUCCCAACAGCAAAGUAACCCAGGGAACAAAAGGAAGCUCUUGGGAAAAGUGAGUCACAGCUGAAUUAGCCAGGUGGGUCUGAGACCGGGCUCUUUAAGGCUGCACUCGGGGAAAGGGGGCGGAGAGGGGCUUGUUAAACAGUCCUAUUAAUAGGACUGCCUUGAUGGUGUUUCCCUUCUCCCAGUGGGUUUCCAACACUAGUGAGGGCUGCCCUGCCACCUGUUUUUGAAGCCCUAAGCAAGGGUGAUAUCAUGGGGCAGCACCCAUUUUUAUGCCACACACUGGCUGUCCUCUGUCACCAGGCAGGUUUAUAAGCCAGCCAGAGCAAGGCUAUCUCUCAGGCCUGUUUGCCAGGCUCUGUUCUGGACAGCCUCCGGGAACAUGAAACUAGAGCUUUUCUUUGCUCAAAACAGUUUCUCUAGCCUGAGGAGGAAACCCAGGUAGGGAAAAGGAGUUUACCAGCCUCUACAUUUGGAUGCACAGUGGAAAAACCACGGUGGGAACUAGGACCCUUCUGAAGCACUGCUGAAUCAUGAACGGGCAAAGACAGUGUCCUUCACUUGUGGGGUUCGAUAGUUUGGGGUUUACUAAGGCACGGGCUUAAUUAAUACAUCCCCACACUUGCCGUGAGAAGGGGAUAAACAAAAAUAUUUUCUAGUUCAUUUCUCAGGUAGAGAAUCCGAUUGGCCAAAUAAUCAUUCCCGGACCGGGUUUGAGAAGCAGGCUUAGCUGUACGCAGGACUGAUGGCAUCAGGCCCCUGCUCGAGUUCUGGAGGCUCUCCCAGCAAACAUCAUUACCCAGCUGGGGGCAGAGAAAGCUUCCCAUUAAGUUGGGCUGGUGAUGAGCACUCUGCCCGCCUGCCUGGCUUUCUUCUUGGAUGUGCCCGAGAAGUAGGAGGGAGGAACAUCAGCCGCCUGGCCCCGUCCUCUGAACCUCCUGCACCAGCUGGUAAAAACCAGAGGCAAAGAGGUUGUUGCGAGGAAGUGAAAGAGGAUGUCCAGGAACCAGUCAGGCAUGCCGGGCUGGAGUGGAGAAGGCUGGCUGUGGUCAGCUCCCGGGAAGACUGCCUCACCGGCGCCUUGCUUGUGACUCACGCAGCAUCACACUCUGCACAGGGGUGGCAUGCAUUUGGUGCAGGGGGCAUUGCUCUACGCCAGGGACCUGACAGACAGUGGGCAGCGGGUUAGAAGGGUGAGGUGAGCCUGCCCCUGCAGUUCGCUGUCACCAUCCUUGUCCUGGUGGAAGAUGGGAGCAGGCAUUCAGGGCCUCGGUCAUCCACCGCUGGAGCUAACUUGUGCAUGUUCAGCUACUGCUGCCCACCCCCGAGGCCGCCCAUUUCAGAGACCUGGGGUGGUGGAAGCACAUGGGCUUUGGAGGCAGCAGAUCUGGGUUCAGGUUCAGACUCCACUACUUGAUAGCUAGGAAACCUUCGGUGAGUCACUUAAGCUCUCUGACCUGUUUCUCCAGUUGUAAAAUGCAGACACACACCUGCCUCACCCACCUCAUGAGGUUGAGUCAAGGAUCAAAUGAGGAGAGACAGUGACCAGGAGGCGCUCUCUCAGGGGUUGUUUGGAUGGAGGUGACAAGAACGAUCAGCAUCCUUCAGGCAGAAGGUAAGGAGUUCAUGGCUCUGGGGCUAAUCCGGAAUAGAGUUUUCUGUGUAUCAGGAUGCUUUGGGUUGCAAGAAAUAGUAAAUCCAACUCAAACUGGUUUACACAGCUGAAAAAUGCAGAGGCAGAUCCAGGCUGCAGGAGUCAUGUGACAGGGUCCUGGCCGUGUUUCUCGGUGUCUCAGGGAGUCUGUGUGGACUGGCUUCCUUCUAGGUAGGAAAAUGGUGGUUGGAGUCCCAGGCCACACAUUCCACCAUCUCUAAUAGGAGAGAACUGCUUUUCCCCUGUCAUCAAAUGUCCAGGGCUUCUCUCUCUUUGGUCUAUUUUAGGCCACAUCCUUGGCUCUGAAUCAAUCACUGAGGCUAGGACAGACCAUGCUGAUUGGCUUAGGCCUGGUUAUUAUUAAACCUGAACAAAUUACUCAAGCAGAGGGAUGGAUUAAAAUGAUUGGUUUAGGCCAAUCAGGGCCCAGCCUGGAGGUAGGAGGGGGGACACACCCACACAAGCCUUUUGGCUGCCACAGCUGGGGAGGGGAGGAAUGGAUGCCACAGUGUCCACUACAGGUUUCUAGAAUCCACCAUGGGAGAGAACGUGGUGACUUUGCCUCUCUAGCAUCCAUCUCCCCCUUUUGACUACAACCCUAAUUUGCACUGGGGCUUCAUUCCUUCCCCAUUUUUGGACUAUGUGCUUCUGAUGGAGCCCCAUUUCCCACUCGUGGAUGAAGCAUUUGAUCCAUCAGUGCACUGUAAUCUCCCGGCCACAGGAUUGCAUCUCAGAAAGGCACUUGGCUUGAUCAGAGUCAGUGAAACGCAAUGAUACUCACUGGGAAGACAGCGCCAGCUGCCCUUGUCUGCUCAACUUGACCCUGAGGAUGUAAGAUCUGGAGCUAUUGCUACUGCCAUUGUAGAACCACAUGGAGGGAGCCUGAGACUGGAGCCGAUACAGAAAGCUGGAAAGAAAGCCACUGAAGCCACUCAGAAAGCCAAGCUAAUUCCUGGACGAUUCAGUUUAUGAAUCAACACAUCUCCUCUUUGCUUUAAGCCUGUUUGGGUCAGGUUUUCUGUCAGUUGCAACAAUUCCUUAAAUCAUACAAUUCUCCUUCCCGUUCAAGGGCAAUGAAUGCCCUGAGCAGUGCAUGUGGGUGGCUAAAAUGUUUGGGCCGGGGGCUUCCCUGGUGGCGCAGUGGUUGAGAGUCCGCCUGCUGAUGCAGGGGACACGGGUUUGUGCCCCGGUCCAGGAAGAUCCCACAUGCCGCGGAGCGGCUGGGCCCGUGAGCCAUGGCCGCUGAGCCUGCGCGUCCGGAGCCUGUGCUCCGCAACGGGAGAGGCCACAACAAUGAGAGGCCCGCGUACCACCCCCCCCAAAAAACAACAACAACAACAACAACAAAAAUGUUUGGGCCGAACUUUACCAAGUACAUUUUGUCAUUUAACACUAAUAUUAUGUACCUGGAAAGCAUCCCAGCCAUGAAAAGAUGCAGAAGAAUGCUAAAUGAAUAUGGAUGGGACUUAGUCUAGAUCAGGGUAGGCAAACUACAGCCCAUGGACCAAAUCUGGCCCACCAUGUUUUCAUAAAGUUUUAUUGGAGCAUAGCCAUGCUUUGUCUGCAGCUGUUUUGUACUACAGUGGUAAAGCAGAGUUGAGUAGUUGCUUGCAAAGCCUAAAAUAUUUAGCAGUUUGGCCCUUUACAGAGAAAGUUUGCUGCCCCCUGGUGCAAAUCAUGGAAGAACAAAAUAUUAGCAAAAUACUUCCCCAAAAUGAAUACCUGCGUCCCCAAAUGAAAGCAACACUGAACAGCCCUCCAUCAUAGACCUCCGUAUCCUUGUAUUAACAUCAAGCCCUAUUAUCAGCGUUAGGAGAGCAGACUUUCAUUGUACCGAACUUAUCCCAGACGGUGAACGAGACAUCCUAUGUCUUUGUUAAGAUUUGGUCUCUGCAGUGCCUGUAUCUUAGUAGCCCUGGCCACAGAGGGUCUAGGAAGCCUGCAGGCCUAAGAACAGUCAUUUCCCACCCCAGCCAUUACCCUUUCCUCUGACUCGGGAUGCUGAAGCUACUGGCUAUUUCCUGCACGUAGCCCAGUGACCCUCUUCCAUAAGGAGGUGGGAUCAAUGUAAACAUGGUGGGAAGAA